GCCCCGUUAGCUCAACCGGAUAGAGUAUCGGUCUUCGGAACCGAGGGUAUAGGUUCAAAUCCUUUACGGGGCA
rnacentral:tRNA from 1 species